CUUUUUGUUGUAAUUUGCAUCUUCCUGGUGCAGUCCUGAAUGCUUGCAGGAAGGAUGUGGCUUUUGUUUCUCUUUAAUAAUAUUCUCAAGCUUACCACACAUUGUCACCCAGAAUGUUUGACAAAUUAGGACCUAAGGGGUGACUAUUCUUAUUAGCACAUAUAAAACUCCUGCACUAAAAUGGUUUUGCCUAAUUGCUGCCACUCCCUGUGCAUCGAUUGCUACCAUGACUGGAGCACAAGGUCAUAAUCUUGCCCAUUUUGCCGGGGAAGUUUGAAGAGGGUGAAAUCAGGGGACUUGUGGGUUCUGACAUGCAGUAGCGAUGGGUUGAGAAUGCAUAAGAUGUUGAGGCUAUAUGUGUUGUGAUUUCUCACAUUACAAAUAGAAGCUUAUUGGCGUUGGCAAAAGACACAGACACACACGCUAGUUAACUUCUUGUUGAAUAGGGUGGAUCCACAAAAUAUCAUCUAAGUUCCAGAUGGUUGCAAGGUUUUAAGAGUGAUCGGGAUUGUCGUGAUCUUCAUUAGAUAUCAUCCGUAUUUCAAAGCUCUGAAUUUUAAGCUCGAUAUCUUUUGGAUCAUUGUUCAAUAGCUAUAAAGUAGUCUCAAGGUAUACAAAAAGGAUGGAUUUGCUAAACGACUCAUCUGAUUCCCAGCAUCAGACCACCAAGGCGCUCAACACACUUCACGAAUUGAUUGUGAAGGUCUGGAGUCCAUCUAAUUCGUUUUUUAAGUGUUGGAGCUGGCCUUGAUGAUGCACUGUGGCAAACCUGUUUGGAAAUAACAAAGAAAAAAUCAAUAAAAUUUCAUGUAUAUAUCUGUGUGUGUGUGUGUGUGUGUGUCUGAGAGAGUUGAAAUUUUAGAAUGGAACACAAGAGAUUACUUUGAGACCAUGAUUUGCAUAUGAAGAAAGCGAAAAUUGCCUCCUGACAAAGGCAGCACUGUCAACAGGAAGAUGAAGGGGUGUUGUAUCUAACUCAUUUUUGUCAUCUUCAGUACAACAUCAAUGUCCCUUUUCUAAAAUCCCCCUUCGUGGAUCAAAAACUAAGAGAAGCUUAAGAUUGUGAAACCAAAUAAGAAAACCCAGUACCACCAUAACCAACACCACAACAUCCACUUCGUCAGUACCCAAUAUCCCAAAACGGCAACUACCCAAAAAAAAAAAACAAAAAAAGCCCAAGAUUGUUCUACCUCUCCAAGAGGGUGAAAUGGGUUUCUGGAAGGAAGAGAAGACGCCGGCGUCGGACUGGGGUUGUCUUCCAAAAGAUGGAUCUCUCACCUGGGCUCUUCGCCGGCGUCGGACCGAUGUAGGUCUUCCUUCAUCAAUCUCUGGUGGGCGUGGAACUCUCCAAAGGCAGGCUCAGCUAGGGUACGGUGAGGAGUGGAAAAAAGAAAUUAGAGUAAAAUUUUGGUAUUUAUUUGCUACAGUACAUUCAGUUGAGCUAUAGUAUUUUCAGCCAAAUAAAUCACCCAUGUUUUUUUAUUUAUUUGCUACAGUGUUUUCAGUUUU